rnacentral:rRNA from 1 species
AUUGACGCUGGCGGCAGGCUUAACACAUGCAAGUCGAGCGAGCGGCGGACGGGUGAGUAAUGUCUGGGAAACUGCCUGAUGGAGGGGGAUAACUACUGGAAACGGUAGCUAAUACCGCAUACCAAUGAAGGGGAUUGCGUCGGAUUAGCUAGUUGGAGGGGUAACGGCCCACCAAGGCGAUGAUCAGUAGCUGGUCUGAGAGGAUGAACGGCCACAUUGGGACUGAGACACGGCCCAGACUCCUACGGGAGGCAGCAGUGGGGAAUAUUGCACAAUGGGCGCAAGCCUGAUGCAGCCAUGCCGCGUGUAUGAAGAAGGCCUUCGGGUUGUAAAGCACUUUCAGCGAGGAGGCGUUACUCGCAGAAGAAGCACCGGCUAACUCCGUGCCAGCAGCCGCGGUAAUUC